UACGAAGGGGGCUAGCGUUGUUCGGAAUUACUGGGCGUAAAGCGCACGUAGGCGGAUCGAUCAGUCAGGGGUGAAAUCCCAGGGCUCAACCCUGGAACUGCCUUUGAUACUGUCGAUCUGGAGUAUGGAAGAGGUGAGUGGAAUUCCGAGUGUAGAGGUGAAAUUCGUAGAUAUUCGGAGGAACACCAGUGGCGAAGGCGGCUCACUGGCCCGGUACUGACGCUGAGGUGCGAAAGCGUGGGGAGCAAACAGG
rnacentral:rRNA from 1 species